CCUUCUCCAAUAUAUAUACACUACAUCUUCUUUAUCCAUUCGUAUGUGAAUGGACAUACAGAUUGCUUCCAUAUCUUGGCAAUUGUAAAUAAUACUGCUAUGAACAUUAGGGUGCACAUAUCUUUCUUUUCAAUUAGUGCUUUUUUUCUGGAUACAUACCCAGGAAUGGAAUUUUACUGGGUAGUUCUACUUUCAGUUUUUUGGGUUUUUUUUGAGAAACCUCCAUAAUGUUUUCCACAGUGGCAGCACCAAUUUAUAUCCCCACCAACAGUGUACAAAGCUUCCCUUUUCUCCACAUGCUCACCAAUAUUUGUUAUUUGUGUUCAUUUUGAUCAUAGCCAUUCUUACAGGUGUGAGGUGACAUCGCCUUGUGGCUGUGAUUUGCAUUUCCCUGAUGAUUAGCGAUGUUGAGCAUCUUCUCGUGUACCCUUUGCAGACAAGAUUUCUUUUUUAAUUCUCAUUUCACCAAUGAGGGUCAAAGAACUUGAGCCAUUUUCCUGGGGUCACACGUUUGGAAAGGAGAGGGAAGAGAGGAAAACGGUGAGAAUGCCGGCGUGAAGGGCAUGGUUUUCCUUUGCUUGAGAGAGGCAAGUGGAGAGGGUCUAAAGAGGCAAGAGGGGCAGUAGCUGAUCAAACCCAGCCUCCUCUUGGGUCUUGUGUUAGAAAAUUGGGAGGGUGUGUUUCUCAGCUGAUGCCGAUUUCUGUGUAACUGCUAGAGUGAGGGAGGGAAAAAGGAAGCCCGGUUUCUAAUUUUGUCUUUGUGGCAUUUUACUAAAAAGCCCCUCAAGGUGGCCGGAAGCUGGAAGCCCUCGAGGCUUGAAGCUCUGGAGUAGCAUGCAAAGAAAGGCGCUGGGCUGGGGGUGGGGCGCCCGGAUCUGAGGCACCACACAGCUUCUCAUCUGGGUUUUGGCUCUCAGCAGCUAUUAAGGUGUUUUCUCUCCUGCUCCUCAUUUGCAUCCUGUCAUACCCAUAUGGCAUGAUUUUAUUUAUCUCUUGAAGGGGAAUGACUGAUGUAGAACGAGGGGAAGCCAGAAGCCUGGACUUUCUGAACCUUCCUUCUGUCCUUCCCAUCCUCCCAGCCUCAAUCUUUCCUUCCUCUCGUCUUUGCCUCCCUCCCUCCUGCCGUCUUGACUUCUGUAAAUGAGGACCUUGCAUGAGUGACAGGAUUCAUUUUUUUUUCAGGUGAAUGUUGCCAGGGGGCGUUUGUCUUGUAGAGAGGUUUAUCCUGGCAACAUUCACAGCCAGGGUGAGUUUAAGCUGUGACCUGCUGCCGUUUCUUCACCAUGAAGGAGCAUUUGGAAUUGACAUAUAUACACUGCUGAUACUUUGUAAAAAAUAGAUAACUAAUACUACUCUAAAGCUCAGGGAACAAUACUCAGUGCUCUGUGGUGACCUAACUGAGAAAGAAGUACAAAAAAGAGAGGAUAUAGGUACAUAUAACUGAUUUAUUUUGCUGUACAGUAGAAGCUAACACAACAUUGUACAUAAACUGUACUCCGAUAAUUAAUUUUAAAAAUGCGUACUGAGGAUGAUUCUGCUCAGAUAGAUUAAGGGCUUAGUUUACAUGCUGGUUUGCUAUUUUUCUGGGAUUUACAAAGAGAAAGUGAUAAAAGUGAAAGUGUUAGUCACUGGGUUGUGUCCUACUCUUUGCCACCCCUUCGACUAUAUAGUCCACCACGCUCCUCUGUCCAUGGAAUUUUCCAGGCAAGAAGACUGGAGCGGGUUGCCGUUUCUUACUCCAGAGGAUCUUUGCAACCCAGGGAUUGAACCUGAGUCUCUUGGGUCUCCUGUGUUGGCAGGAAGAUUCUUUACCACUAGCGCCACCUGGGAAACUCUAACCUCAUUGAUUUUGCCAUUUUAGGUAUAAAUGUUGCAAUCUACACAGUUUCUCAGAGCUCUUCAAGACAGAGUUUGCAUCCUAUGUUGGGGUUAAGAUAACAAAUGUUUCAAUCUUCCUUUGUUCUUGAAAAGAUAAUGGGUAAUUCACUUAUUCAUUUAUUUAUUCUUGGCUUGCUAGCCUAUGAGGGUCAAAUGCCUGAGAAGUAUGAAGUAUUAAACAACAACCCCCAAAUCAAACAAAUAAAAAAGACCUUUAGAAAUACAGCUAAAGUAGGAUUCGUUGUUCUUUUAAAUACUUUAAUUCUGUGUUUAUCUAUUUAGCAAGCACAUAUUUUAGGUGUGUGAUAUGCUGGGCACUGGGCUAGAUGCCCAGAACCCAGAGUUGGAGAUCUGUUCUCUGCUUUGAAUCUGUUCAGAGUUAGUUAAUUUCACAACUUAGGGGCUACAGCUACACAAGAGCUAUGGAAAAGGGCCCAGGAGGAUAAAUCUUUAGGAAAUUUGGGGGUUCCACGAGAUAUAUCAUGCAAGAUUAUAUUUGCAUGUGCAUAUUUUUGGGAAGAGGGGUUCAUAACUUUAAUGGGAUUCAAGUAUUCAUGAAAAAAUUUAGAAGCAUGGCUCCUAUAAUUGCAGCAAAACUUUUAGAUGACCUACCCACUGAGUUCUACAAGUAAGAUCUUCUUUUCUUGCUCAGUGUUGCAUUUGGAACCUGGUCUACUGGCUUUUUUGGGCUUCCAUGGUGGCUCCAGUGGCAAAGAACCCUCUUGCCAAUGCCGGAGAAGCAGGUUCGAUCCCUGGAUCAGGAAGAUACCGAGGAGAAGGAAAUGGAAAUCCUCUCCGUAUUCCUGCUUGCGAAAGCCCACGCCCAGAGAAGCCUGGAGUCUUGUAAAGUGGAACUUGCUCUUCUCAUCAAACAUUCUGCAUAAACUAUGAUCCAAGGAAAUAUCCAGGUUCUUCUAGAAUGGACCCUCUAGGGAUGCCUGGAUUGAAUUAAAGCAGCUGAUUUUGAAACCAUGUGACCAGAAUUUGGACAACUCUAUUGUCUCAUCCUCUGUGCUGUGUUGAAGAAACCAAGAUAAUGACAUUUUCCCAAGGCUGGGGCUGGGUGAACCUACACCUCGGUGUUUCCAUUUCUCGGAUGACGGAUCAGAUUGAAGGGGACAAGUCAGUGUGAGUCUUUGGUUUGAGGUAGAUACUUGUGAACAGGCACAGCCUGUUCAUCUUUCAUCCUGCACACCUCCAACAUCAAGGACAUCAGUUCGCUUUGAUUAGAGUUAAGGUGUUUUUCUGCCAGAGACUCUUCAGGCUUCCAGUCGUGAAAUCUGUUUUAAUAACUGGUGUCAUGAAUGCUUUCCUUCCCAUCCCACCCUUGAAAUAAAUUCAAAUUCCCAUAAGAACCAGAUCUCUUCUUGGAGGAGUUAAAGAUAAUUUGUCAGCAUGUAUGUUUCUUACAGAACCAAAUUACCAAAGGGGGCUGUAACCUGGUUUCAAAUACUUUUGGGUGUCUUUCCUCAGAGCUACUUUUCAUCACUGCAAUUAGAGCAGGGGAGACUGGCUUUCAAACCCAAGUGUCCUUAUCCAGUCAGAAAACGGUGGAGAAAACACUCCCCCACAGGGGAAUCGCUUCCGUCCCUCCCUUGUCUUUUCUCCCGCCUCCAUCCUUCACUCCUCACUUCCUCCCUUUCUUCUUUUUUUCUCUCUGUCCCCUCUUUUCUCCUUCCUCCCUCCCUCACUCUUUCUUUCCCUUGGCUUUUGUUUAAUCUCUGGUGAAUUAUACAUACAUAGGAAUUCAUUAGGAUAAUCAAAACUACAAUAUCACUGUUAAAAAACCAUGGCUUAUUAACUGGUUAGGGUAACCUCCCAAUUAACUGGACUGAAUAAGGAAUGUAACUUGCGGUAAAUUAAAAAUUUUAACUAAUUAGGGAUAUUUCCGGUUUUUUUUUGUUCUUCAACUCUUGUUGAAACUCUUGUUUUGCCCUAUGAUAUAUCUUUGCUUUCAUUUCUCAAGAGUUUUCCCAUUAUGGUGAUAUUUUCUUAGAGGAAAAAAACUUCUCAGAUCUUUAUUCUACACAGGGAUCUUGCAUAGGACUGAAGAUGUGUUAUUAGACUAGGUCUCACUUCUGUAGCCUCAAGGGCAUACUCUGGAAACUGUUGUUACUAAACUGAUUUUAUUUCCCUAUUGUCAUGGAGACUGGCUAGCAACACAACACGUCUAUUUCUUCCACUUUCUGGACACACAACCUACAUCUCCCAGCUUCUCUUGUAUUAAGUGUGGUCAUGUGUCUGAACUCUAACCAAUGGAGUGUGGUCAAAGUGAAAUGUUUCACUUCCUGGUCCAGCACAUAAGGAUCUCUCAUGGUCCCUUCCAUGUUCUUUCCUGGUGACCUGCUUGGUGCAGACAUAGACAAGCUGUUAACCUUCAACAGGGAGCCCUAUGUUGAAGAUGACAGAGCAAUGAGAAGGAGGAACCUAUUUGCUAGAAUCAGGACCAGGACUAUGGCUGAUCAGUGCCACCCAUUUUGGCUUUGACAUGUGUGAAAAUUUCUACUGUUUGGGGCAAUAUAAAAUUUUGAAAUUUGUUUGUAAGAGCAGAGCAUUGUUUAUAAGAGCUUUAUAAGAGUAUAAUGAUACUUUCAGUAAUGUUAUUAUUAAUAACAGUAAAAUCAAAACCCAAAUUUCAAUUAACUCAUGUUUAUAAUGAGUUGAUUCCCAGGGAAUUAAAGUUUUCUGACAAUCGUUGCCUAGAGUUGUCUCCCAGAUUGUAGAAUCAGUCAGCGCCCAUGCAGGGGAGGAGAUUGAGGUUCAGCAGGUGGGAUCAAGUGAUUCCAAAAUUCUUAUGGCAUUUCCCAAGCCUUUCCCAGCCAGGGAACUGAUGCCUGGGAAAGAGAGGAAUGAAUAUGAUCUCCAUUUUUGACCUUUAUCUCUGUCAAAAUAUGAACUCUCAGUAUCACAUUUAAAUUAUUUAAACUGUUGUGUACAAGACAUGUCUAAAGAACAGAAAAACUAAUAUUGGCUUUUAGAUAAUAUCCAUGAAGUACAUUGAGAUCCUGGCUAAAAUGCAGUGUCCUGUGUCUGAUUUAAAAAAAAAAAAAUGUUCUGGAAGAAGGGACAGCCUUUAAGUAGAGAAUUGCAAUGUAAGAGGCUCAAUUCCCCUUCUUCUCAUGGACUGCACAUGAUGGUCUCUAGGUAUAUCUGCAGUGUAUGUAUGAAUCAUCCCUUUGACAUUUGGGGGUACAGUUUUGGGGUUUGGGUUAACAAUAGAGUAAGCUACCAAUUUCUGUCUUUUAAUGUAGGGAUUUUGUUGGGGUGGGUAGAAGGCAAGGAUCCAGAGAUUUUAAAAAGACAAAUAAACUUUGCUCUAUUUCUUUGAACAAAAAAACUUGACAGAGCAAGGAAUGACUUCCUAAAUGCACAAAGGAGAUUCUCCCACAAAUUAUUGCUCAAUGGCUCUGUUUGUUUGUUUUUUUUUUUAAUCUGGGCUGAUGAGGUGUUCUCUACCCUGGGUGAGUUACUGCUUUUGUCUUUGUGGCUUGAUUCUCUCAUGGCUCUGAAAACAUUCGUGCCUUUCAUAAAUACUAUUGACUGAAGAUUGUUUAUCAUGGAGCUCAUAAAUAUACCUUUUUCUUUUUCUUCAGUCUUCUGGUUCUUCUUGAUGUUUUUGAUUUCCCAUCAUCCAUCUGAGCCUUUACAUUAAGAUGAAUUUACACAUAUAUAUACAUAUAUACACACAUAUAUUUCAUAGAUGUAUUUCUUUAUCAAAGGAGCCCUGAACUGGGUUAGGAGGCCUUGAUUCAAAUCACUGUCACUAACUAAACUUGUGAUGGGUCCGAGUAAUUCCCCAUCUGCAUGCUGAGAGUUGGGAAAGAGUGGGAGACUGUGAUCUCCAUGAGGUGCCUACACAGUGCCCAGGAAGUGGGGUUUCCAUAGCAUGUGUCCCAGGUGCAACAUUCUGUGAUCAAGGGAUGUAACCGGCCACUUACUGCACCCUCCUCCCUAAAUCUUUGUUAUCCAUUUCUUUCUCCUUACUCUUGCUCUUGUUAUCUUGGAGAGAUCAUUCGGUGGUGGAGUCAGGAUGAUGGAUAUGCCAGAGAACCUGAACUGUGAGCUCCUCAGGAAAUGCCCAGAUUGUGGACCAUUCAUUACAUCGUUAGGCAACCAUUGAGCAUCUAAGAUUUGCCUGGUACUAUGCUUAGCUGUUGUUUUUGUUUAGUCAUUACGUGGUGUCCAACCCUUUUGUGACCCCAUGGACUAUUGCCCACCAGGCUCCUCUGCCCAUAGCAUUGCAUCCAGGCAGCAAUACUGGAGUGGGUUGUCAUGCCCUUCUCCAGGGGAUUUUCCUGUCCCAAGGAUCAGAUCCACGUCUCAUGCAUUGGCAGGUGGAUUCUUUACCACUGAGCCCCACUGCACUAAGUACAGUGCUUUUUCAAUCUAUUUUUUAACUGUGCUAUUUUCCUAAUUACACAAACAACACAGGGUCAUCGAGUCUUUUCUGAAGGUACCAAAAAAGACAUAAUAAGAGGAAAUCACUUACAGUUUCACUUUCUAGAGUUUGCCACUAUUGGUAGUUGAAUGUGUAUCUUUUCCAGGGUUUUUGCUAUGUAAAAGCACACUUUACAAAAGGGAGAAAAUAUGAAGUUACAUUGUACACCUUGUUUUAUAAUUUCUUAAAAAAUCCAUUGAUUUCAUUUCACUUCCUCUUGGAUUCUGGCUGUUGAAUUGGAAGAAAUGAUCUUUUCUGUGUGUGAUGUAAAUUCAUUUCAGGAUGUAUGCAUCAGAAAGACACUGUAAGAGUCCACUCCAAUGGACUGUACUUCCAAUUUGGCGACAAAGAGAUGAAGUCACAGAUGAUGCCCCAAAGUUCUUUAUUGUGAAUGAUUUACUGGAAACACUGAGGUCAGGUCAGAAUCUCACUGAGUGAGAAGAAAAUUACAAGACUGAGCAGAUUCAAGAGUGAAACUCAUCUGUGUCAGUGUGUGCUGGCCCAAGUAGGACACGUAUGCAAACAUGCUACCCUUUUACUAAGAGAUCAUUGUUUCAGAUGCAAAAUAAACAGCUGAAGGAUUUCUCAAAAGUUUUCCUUAAAUGAGAUAGGAAACAGCCUGCUCAUACAAAAUAGUCUAGCCCUAAUUAGCACAUAUUAUUAUUAUCAUUAUCAUUAUUAUUAUUUGUAAUUAAUGUUCCAGGUACCAUGUGAAUUAUCUGAUCAUGAUUUUAUUUUAAAAGUUCUAUAUCAUAGAAACUUUUGCUCCCAUUUAGUGUUGAGGAAAGUCAAGCUCAUAAAGAUUAGAGGAUUUACACCCAAAUCAAAUAACUAGCUGGUAAAUAACCAGUCCCUGGGGCAAGUUAAAGCUGCCUGACUUUAAAUCUGGAACUCUAAGACUACCAUACGCUGCUGCCUCUCCCAUGUGAAAAGGACACAAGCUAUAUUGAGUGAAUAAAUGAAUCAACUUAUCUUACAGAUGGAUCUUAAUAAAUGUUAAUUGACUGGGAACCAUGAUUCUCUCACCAAAUUUGAUUCUCUACAUCAAAUGAGACAGUGAAUUACAUGUAAUGAACUUGCUGGCCAAGCUACGUUUCCAAGUUUUUGAGACUGGCCAAGGUCUCCUGGGGAUAACCAUGAGACUGAGGGGAAAAAUACCCUGGAGGCAAUACACCCUCAGCACAGCACUUCCUCUUUGAGUUAAUAUCGUGGCAUCAAGCCAUGGAGUCCUCCACUCCCGUCAUUGCUGCCCAGCACUCGGUUGAAACUAAGUCACAAGGAUUUGGUGCAAGCCUGCUGCUCAGGGCUUCUUGACUCUGCCUCUAUCUCUGGACCCAUAUACUUAACUUGAAAAUGAGACUUGGUUGAACGACGGCAGAAUAGGGGUUUUCUAGGAUUCUUUGCCUUCUUUUGACUCCUAAUAGCGACAACAAAGAAGCAGAGAUUGUCAUCCUAAGUGAAGUAAGUCAGACAGAGAAAGACAAAUAACAUAUGCUAUUACUCAUAUGCGGAAUCAAACUUAAAAAAUGACAUUUGGGUUGACCAAAUAGUUCAUUCGGGUUUUUCUGUAACAUGUUACGAAAAAACCUGAACAAACUUUUUGGCCAACUCAAUACAAAUGAACUUAUUUAGAAAGCAGAAAGAGACUUACAGAUAUUGAAAACAAGCUUACCCUUACCAGAGGGGAAAUGUCAGGGGGAGGGAUAAAUCAGGAGCUUGGGGCUAACACACACACACUGCUGUAUAUAAGACAGAUAACCAACAAGGACCUACUGUCAGCACAGGGAGCUUGCUCAGUAUUCUGCGAUAACCAAUAUGAGAAAAGACUCUGAGGAAGAAUGAAUGGAUAUGGAUGUAUAUAACUGGGUCAUUUUGCUGGACCCCUGAAAUCAGCACAAAGUAGGACAUCAAUUAUACUCAAAAAAAAAAAAAAAAAAAAAGAGAGAAUAUGAGUAAAGAUUUCAAAGAAACUAAGAGAUUGCCAGUGAUCUACCUUAUAACAGUCAAACAUGGUGAUGUCUGGGUUAAGAAGGGGAAGGAAUUCUAUAUUUUGACCUUGAAAAGAAUAACAAUUAUACAAAAAGCAACUGCCAACAUUCCAAAAGUCCCAUUCCAUGAGCUUUUCAAUGAGUCACAUUGAGAAUAGGGUCAUGGAAGGAUCUUAGGAGAGAGGAGACAUAGCCCCUGGAGAUCAAUUCAACUAACUCUGCAGAAGAAUAUAAAAGAGAAACCAAGCCAAAAAGCCAUUUCUAUCAUCCACAAGCUUCCUGGUCAACUAAGACAGAGGAUGCAUUUCUGUUUACUCAAUAACCACCAUAAUGCCUUACUCAUGUAGCUGUAAUACUCUAAAGGAAUAAAAGGCUUCAGUGUGAUGAAUAUGGUUGAAGGACCCAUAAAGACAUUUAAAACUUUGUGCUGUGUUUGAACCUCUGGCUUUAACUUGUCAGGUAAAGCUGUGAGGUUCGUUUGAGUCCCUUUCUAGGAAGCAUUGUUAGGGACAUGAAAUGUGAAGAGUGUGAGAUCAUUCCUUAGUUCUAACAGCCAGAAGCUGUGCUUUUUUUUAGAGGGUGUCUGAGGAAGCUAAUCCAACCCCCAGUUAUAUCUGUAGGCUUUGUAGACAAUAAACGCAUGAUAGUAGUCAGCCCGCCUCCUAAUCAGCAGGAGGAUGAAGCCUGGUGAUGCCAGCCUCUGCGUGACUCCGUGAUGUAACUGUCCUGAAGACUCUCAGGCUCUGGUGCGCGAAGCAUGCAACCCAGGCCUACCCAGGCCUGAGUCUCACUGAGCCCCUGAGAUGACUGCCUCUGAGCCCGGGGAUUCCUGGAUCACAUGGUCUUUAGCACCACUGAGACUUUCUGGAAAACCUAUGGGAGACAAGACACUUUCAGGUAUUGGCCAUUGUGAUGAUUCUAGAGAACUGGGCACAUCUAGGAACAUGAGGGCCUGCUUCUCCUCAAUUUAUUCUUUUUCUCCACAAACAGGUGGGAGGAUACUCUACUCCAAGUUCAUCUCUGCGUACCCUCCAGUCUGUGUCCUGACCUCGCAUGUUCACUCUUCUGAUGGUGGCUUAACUGAUCAUCUUCUCUGGGGAUCAAAACUUUACAGUAACAAUAGCUGACUUUCCUUGACUAUUUCCCAGGAGCUCUCUGAAGGUCUUUACAUGCUUUAUCACAUUUAACUCUACAAGGAAGAUUUUUUUUUUUUCUUUAGGACAAACGAGACACAAGGAGCCUAAAUAACUUGCCAAGGUCACAAAGUUUGUGAGUCCUAGAGCUAAGAUAUGAACCUAGAUCAAUCUGAAUUCACAAUCUUAACCUGUACUCUAUGCUGAAUAACUCUGAUAGUGAAUCUUCAGGAAGUUAUUCAAGGAUUUAAGGCUUCAUCUGUGCAUUCCCUUGGACACAAGGAGAUCAAACAAGUCCAUCCUAAAGGAUAUCAGUCCUGAAUAUUCACUGGAAGGAUUGAUGCUGAAGCUGAAACUCCAGUACUUUAGCCACCUGAUGGGAAGAACUGACUCA